rnacentral:rRNA from 1 species
GGGUUGUGAGGUUAAGCGACUAAGCGUACACGGUGGAUGCCCUGGCAGUCAGAGGCGAUGAAGGACGUGCUAAUCUGCGAUAAGCGUCGGUAAGGUGAUAUGAACCGUUAUAACCGGCGAUUUCCGAAUGGGGAAACCCAGUGUGUUUCGACACACUAUCAUUAACUGAAUCCAUAGGUUAAUGAGGCGAACCGGGGGAACUGAAACAUCUAAGUACCCCGAGGAAAAGAAAUCAACCGAGAUUCCCCCAGUAGCGGCGAGCGAACGGGGAGCAGCCCAGAGCCUGAAUCAGUGUGUGUGUUAGUGGAAGCGUCUGGAAAGGCGUGCGAUACAGGGUGACAGCCCCGUACACAAAAAUGCACAUGCUGUGAGCUCGAUGAGUAGGGCGGGACACGUGGUAUCCUGUCUGAAUAUGGGGGGACCAUCCUCCAAGGCUAAAUACUCCUGACUGACCGAUAGUGAACCAGUACCGUGAGGGAAAGGCGAAAAGAACCCCGGCGAGGGGAGUGAAAAAGAACCUGAAACCGUGUACGUACAAGCAGUGGGAGCACGCUUAGGCGUGUGACUGCGUACCUUUUGUAUAAUGGGUCAGCGACUUAUAUUCUGUAGCAAGGUUAACCGAAUAGGGGAGCCGAAGGGAAACCGAGUCUUAACUGGGCGUUAAGUUGCAGGGUAUAGACCCGAAACCCGGUGAUCUAGCCAUGGGCAGGUUGAAGGUUGGGUAACACUAACUGGAGGACCGAACCGACUAAUGUUGAAAAAUUAGCGGAUGACUUGUGGCUGGGGGUGAAAGGCCAAUCAAACCGGGAGAUAGCUGGUUCUCCCCGAAAGCUAUUUAGGUAGCGCCUCGUGAAUUCAUCUCCGGGGGUAGAGCACUGUUUCGGCAAGGGGGUCAUCCCGACUUACCAACCCGAUGCAAACUGCGAAUACCGGAGAAUGUUAUCACGGGAGACACACGGCGGGUGCUAACGUCCGUCGUGAAGAGGGAAACAACCCAGACCGCCAGCUAAGGUCCCAAAGUCAUGGUUAAGUGGGAAACGAUGUGGGAAGGCCCAGACAGCCAGGAUGUUGGCUUAGAAGCAGCCAUCAUUUAAAGAAAGCGUAAUAGCUCACUGGUCGAGUCGGCCUGCGCGGAAGAUGUAACGGGGCUAAACCAUGCACCGAAGCUGCGGCAGCGACGCUGAUGCGUUGUUGGGUAGGGGAGCGUUCUGUAAGCCUGCGAAGGUGUGCUGUGAGGCAUGCUGGAGGUAUCAGAAGUGCGAAUGCUGACAUAAGUAACGAUAAAGCGGGUGAAAAGCCCGCUCGCCGGAAGACCAAGGGUUCCUGUCCAACGUUAAUCGGGGCAGGGUGAGUCGACCCCUAAGGCGAGGCCGAAAGGCGUAGUCGAUGGGAAACAGGUUAAUAUUCCUGUGCUUGGUGUUACUGCGAAGGGGGGACGGAGAAGGCUAUGUUGGCCGGGCGACGGUUGUCCCGGUUUAAGCGUGUAGGCUGGUUUUCCAGGCAAAUCCGGAAAAUCAAGGCUGAGGCGUGAUGACGAGGCACUACGGUGCUGAAGCAACAAAUGCCCUGCUUCCAGGAAAAGCCUCUAAGCAUCAGGUAACAUCAAAUCGUACCCCAAACCGACACAGGUGGUCAGGUAGAGAAUACCAAGGCGCUUGAGAGAACUCGGGUGAAGGAACUAGGCAAAAUGGUGCCGUAACUUCGGGAGAAGGCACGCUGAUAUGUAGGUGAAGUCCCUCGCGGAUGGAGCUGAAAUCAGUCGAAGAUACCAGCUGGCUGCAACUGUUUAUUAAAAACACAGCACUGUGCAAACACGA